rnacentral:tRNA from 1 species
GUGGUUAUAGCUCAGUGCUAGAGUGUGUGCUUGAUAUGCACGAGGUGCUGGGUUCCAUCCCUAGUGCCUCCA